ACCUUUAGGGUUUCGGGUUGCCGGGGCUUCCAAUGGCCGACGGCCGUAGAAGAGGGGGCCGGGGGCGGCGGAGGACCAGCGGCGGCGAUGGUUCGGCCGGCGGAAGGCGAGGCGGCGCGGGAGUGCCGCCGGUCGGGCAGGGCUAGAGCCCUGGUGGGCGGUGGUGGCGGCGGGGUGAGAAGGCGGCGGCGGCACAACGGCGAGCUUGAUUAGGGUUGGCGGCGGCGGAGGGCGGAGGUGACGAGGCGACGCCGGAGUCGAGGGAGAGGGAGGUGGGGGUUGGCGGGAGAGCGACGCCUUAGAAGCUUCUGCGAGUCAAUCGCGGCGAAUCGCGAUGAAUAGACGCCCCGCCGAAGAGAGCCUUGUAGGCGUCGCGUAGCCAGCCGAGUUCGCCAUGAGGAGGAAGCUGCUGCAGUUCCAGUCCCUUCUCGCGCAGCACGCCCUCCGCGGGAUCCCAAAACCCAAAACCCAGACCCCAACUCCAACCCCACCACCACCGCAUCCUCCACUCCUCCUCGGCUCCGUCACUCGCACCCCCCUCCCCGUCGGCUCACCUCCUAUGGAAUCGCCUCUCCGGGGGCACCGCUUCCUCCCUCCUCCCGAGGAGCGCGGCCGCCGUCGAUGCGUCAGCGCGGACCGCCGCUUCCCGGUGGUUGGCCGCCGCCCGCAGCGCCGGCUCCCUCGACCUCUUCUCGCUGCAGCGGCGACAGGAGGACCAGGGAUCGGGGUGGCAAUUCGCGUCGACCACCUUUCUCCAAGUCGCGCCCUGGGCGUACUGGACGCAGUCCCCCGAAGGGAUGGUGUUGACACUCGUCAGCGUGAAUGUGGGCGUCUUCAUGCUCUGGCGUGUGGCUGAUCUGGGGUUCAUGUGGAGGCAUUUCAUGAUUUCGCUGGACAAUUUCGAAAGCAGACGGUUCCACACCUUGCUCACGAAUGCUUUCAGCCACUUCGACUCUGGUCACCUGAUUUCCAAUAUGAUUGGCCUCUACUUCUUUGGGACAAGUAUUGCGAGGACGUUUGGUCCGGCUUUUCUGUUGGAAUUGUAUGUAGCUGGAGCACUUACUGGAUCAGCAUUCUUCUUGCUAGAGAUGACUUUUCUAGCUCAACGGAAACAGGUUUCUGUUGGGCCGGAUACUUCAAGAGCUCCUGCACUUGGUGCCAGUGCUGCAGUCAAUGCAAUUAUCCUCCUUCAGAUUUUUCUGAAUCCCAAAGGACUGGUCUAUCUUUACUUCCUAAUUCCUGUCCCAGCUGCAUUUUUGGGGGCUGCUUUGAUCGCUUCUGAUUUGUAUAGGGUCAAGAAGGGGCGGGGCCGUAUAUCAGGUUCAGCUCAUUUAGGUGGUGCCCUUGUUGCUGCUCUUGGGUGGGCUCUGCUGAGUCACUGACAUUGAGGGAUGGCUCCUAGAACAUGCAUGCUACUUAUGCCCCGGAUAAUGUGGUAGCGAUAGCGAGUAUCGUCAACAUUGACUGAUUUUUCUGGCAAUGACUGCCCCUAAAACGGAAGAAUCCGAUCCCAGUUGGCAUGUUUCGAAUUCGAGUACAAGAGGCUACGGCUGGCCUAUGGUUGCUGUCUUGCUGAUAGAAAGUGGGAAGAGAAUGGCAAAGACCUGUAUGAAUGGUUCAAGAAAGCGUGUUGAAAGAUUCAUGUACUAGGUACUUAUCUCUGCAACCGCAACUGCUACUGUAGGCAAAAGCUUCCCUCUCUUGUCCAUGCUACUUGUCAUAAGUCAUAACUGAUGUUCGAAGAUCAUCUAAGCAUGAGGCCACGCGCGGCCGCAAACUGUA